rnacentral:rRNA from 1 species
AGAGUUUGAUCAUGGCUCAGGAUGAACGCUAGUGAUAGGCUUAACACAUGCAAGUCGAGGGGCAGCAUGAUCUUAGCUUGCUAAGGUUGAUGGCGACCGGCGCACGGGUGCGUAACGCGUAUGCAACUUGCCUUACAGAGGGGGAUAACCCGUUGAAAGACGGACUAAAACCGCAUACACUUGUAUUAUUGCAUGAUAUUACAAGGAAAUAUUUAUAGCUGUAAGAUAGGCAUGCGUCCCAUUAGCUAGUUGGUGAGGUAACGGCUCACCAAGGCGACGAUGGGUAGGGGAACUGAGAGGUUUAUCCCCCACACUGGUACUGAGACACGGACCAGACUCCUACGGGAGGCAGCAGUGAGGAAUAUUGGUCAAUGGGCGAGAGCCUGAACCAGCCAAGUCGCGUGAAGGAAGACAGUCCUAAGGAUUGUAAACUUCUUUUAUACGGGAAUAACGGGCGAUACGAGUAUUGCAUUGAAUGUACCGUAAGAAUAAGCAUCGGCUAACUCCGUGCCAGCAGCCGCGGUAAUACGGAGGAUGCGAGCGUUAUCCGGAUUUAUUGGGUUUAAAGGGUGCGUAGGUUGUUCGGUAAGUCAGCGGUGAAACCUGAGCGCUCAACGUUCAGCCUGCCGUUGAAACUGCCGGGCUUGAGUUCAGUGGCGGCAGGCGGAAUUCGUGGUGUAGCGGUGAAAUGCAUAGAUAUCACGAGGAACUCCGAUUGCGAAGGCAGCUUGCCAUACUGCGACUGACACUGAAGCACGAAGGCGUGGGUAUCAAACAGGAUUAGAUACCCUGGUAGUCCACGCAGUCAACGAUGAUUACUAGGAGUUUGCGAUAUACCGUCAAGCUACCACAGCGAAAGCGUUAAGUAAUCCACCUGGGGAGUACGCCGGCAACGGUGAAACUCAAAGGAAUUGACGGGGCCCGCACAAGCGGAGGAACAUGUGGUUUAAUUCGAUGAUACGCGAGGAACCUUACCCGGGAUUGAAAUGUAGAUGACCCCUUCGGGGCGUCUAUGUAGGUGCUGCAUGGUUGUCGUCAGCUCGUGCCGUGAGGUGUCGGCUUAAGUGCCAUAACGAGCGCAACCCACAUCGGUAGUUGCUAACAGU